rnacentral:misc_RNA from 1 species
GAAAUGCGAUAAGUAGUGUGAAUUGCAGAAUUCAGUGAAUCAUCGAAUCUUUGAACGCACAUUGCGCCCUUCGGUAUUCCGUAGGGCAUGCCUGUUCGAGCGUCAUUGAAACCCUUUCAAGCUCUGCUUGGUGCUGGGUGUUUGUUCCGCCCUGGUGCGUGGACUCGCCUCAAAACUAUUGGCAGCCGGUUUACUGGCUUUGGCGCAGCACAACGCGCCACAAGCAUACUGAACCUGGCCCCCAGAAGCUCCUUCUCAGUUUGACCUCGGAUCAGGUAGGGAUACCCGCUGAACUUAA